AUUUUAUCUUUUAAAAAAUUUAAAUUUUUUUAUUUUUCAAAAUUUAAAAUCUUAUCCCCAAAACCUCACUUCUCAACUCUAAACCCUAAAACCUAAACUCUAAACCCUAAACCUUAAAUUCUAAAACCUAAACCCCACCCCUUAAGUGCUAUUUUUGUGACUUUUGGCCUUGAGUGCUAGUUUGGGAACAAAAACUUGAUUUAGUGCUAUUUUGGUCUUUUUCUCAAAAAAUAAUUACUUUUCUGUAUCAAAAUAAACCAUACAUUACUUUUUAUUUCACGUUUAUGCGUAAAAAAUGUAUUCGUGUAUUUCUUUAUAAUUACAUUUUACAUGCACAUUCGUGUGGAUAUAUUUUUAUUUUAUAAAUAUAUACAUUUAACAUUAUUGUAAACAUUUUAAAUAUAUGAUUUAUAUUUGAGUGUUAUAUAUUGUGUAGCUUUAUAAUUUUACUGUUUAUUUUUUUAUUCAGCAUUGUUAAUAUAUAAUCAUUUGUUUUAUACUUUGUACUUUGUUUAGGACACCAGUGUCGAAUGAUAAAAAAACACGCA
rnacentral:lncRNA from 1 species